AGCAGCCCAGGAUGCCCACCGACACGCCGGCAUAGUCCAGCGCCAUCCAGCGUCGGCCUGUCUUCUCCGAGCGGUGGCAGCGGAACAAGUGGUAGCCCGCUGAGCACAGCAGACACAGCUGGAGACACAGCGGUCACAGGCAAGGGAAACGUGAACCUGGAAGCAGAAGAGUCCCACGGAGUAGAUGACGUAGUCCUCGCGCGAGACCCCUAGCUGGGGCAGGACUUGUGCCAUGUGGUACACGGCCAGGAAGAAGAAGAAGAGGAAGCCCAGCAGGUGAGUCCAGAUGUUCACGCUCUCAUUGGACAGGAUGAACAGGCUGGCAAACACACAUACAGCACACAUGUACAAAAUAAAUGUCUUGUCUCAGUGCCAAGGUACUUUGUUUAAGGAACCCAACAUCUAGUAACUUAGAUUCUAGUUACACAAAUAGCUCAGAUUGACCCUGAAAACUAAUCAGAUGUCUAACUAUUUGACUGAUGAGCUGAGUGAUGGAUUAUCAGUCCAACUAUUUACCAAUCUCUCUGACCUACCAUCGCCCAAGCAUUUCCCCGACCUGCCACUCACCUCUUGAUGCAGAGCCUGGAGGGCAGGUAGGCCCUGUAUCCAUCCGUGAUGUACGGGUUCUCACGCAGGUAGCCCGGGAUCUGCUCGUAGGUGUACAGGCGGAUCCCGCGGGGUACCAACACUGGCCAGUACUGGUAGCCCCCCAGCUCGAUGUAGUGGGUGGUCUGAGCGCUCUUCUGAGGCAUGACGGCGGUGGGGGGCACUUUCUUCGGAGCUAAGGCACAAGACAAAACAGGUCGGCAAAAUAAGUUAUUAUUGAAUCUCAACGGCAUUACUUUUAGCAAAUGUGCCGUCAGAAUUUUAAUUUGAAUGGAUCUAUUUCCACUUUUACCAGCGUCAUUUACUUGUGAUACGCAAGUUCAUGUAUUUUUAUAUAGGUACACAGCGUGAGUACUUUUGGCACCUCUAUUUAACAAUGAUCAGAUCUAACGGAGUUGGAACCAAAAAAGGAGAUUUCAAUUUAACAACUGCUGACUAUGCAGUUGCUAAAAGCGCAACAACAAUGGUUGUCAUUCAACAGAUAUUUGCUCUUCCUUUGCGAACGACGCAGUGCCGCAUAAGAUCCAACGUAUCUGGAAACUUUAAUUAGAAUAUUCCCCAUCAUAACAGAGUACGUAAAGAAACGCAAGAGGUUCCAAUUGAGUUUGAAGACGACUAAGUCUUAUUUAGGGAUUUUUCAACAAGCUAGCUAAUUUGUCGACUUGUUCUGCCGACAAAAAUGAGGAUUAACUCACCUUUCAACUUGGCAUAAGUACACUUUGUUCCAUUUGGGGUCUUAUAAAACCCACUGUACAUUUAAAACUAAAAUAAACGAACCGUAACUUAACAUACUGUGCUACGACGUUGAAGUUGCAGCUCCAUCGUCUCCAAAUCAGGACUGACGUCAUCGCUAAGAGGACCCAUCUCGCCUCCUCAAUAGUGUUGGCUCGUGAGUGACCGAUUCGUUCAAAAGAACGAAUCUUUUCAGUAAACGAUAGUGAACGAAAAACUUCCAAAAGUGAUUCGUUAUUUUUUCAGUUCAUAUGACUUCGACCAGUAGAUGUCGGUAAUGCACAUCGAAGCUGGUGCCACCUCGCCGUAAAA